GGGGCGAUGGCGCAGCUGGGAGCGCGUAUGUUUCCACAUCUAAAGGUCACCGGUUCAAGCCCGGUUCGUCCCA
rnacentral:tRNA from 1 species